GACGAACGCUGGCGGCGUGCCUAAUACAUGCAAGUAGAACGCAGUUUCGAAAGGGUGAGUAACGCGUAGGGGACAUGCCUCAUAGCGGGGGCUAACUAUUGGAAACGAUAGAUCAUACCGCAAUCUGUAUGAUGGACCUGCGUUGUAUUAUCUAGUUGGUGAGGAAAAGGUUCACCAAGGCGACGAGACAUAGCGGACCUGAGAGGGGGAUAGGCCCAACUGGUAAGGAGACACGGCCCAGAAUCCUACGGGAGGCAGCAGGAGGGAAUCUUCGGCAAUGGGCGGCAGUCUGACCGAGCAACGCCGCGUGAGUGAAGAAGGUUUUCGGAUCGUAAAGCUAUGUUGUUAGAGAAGCGGUAACUAAACAGAAAGGGACGGCUAACUACGUGCCAGCAGCCGCGGUAAUUC
rnacentral:rRNA from 1 species